rnacentral:rRNA from 1 species
UACGUAGGGAGCAAGCGUUGUCCGGAAUCAUUGGGCGUAAAGCGCGCGUAGGCGGUUUGUCGCGUCUGCUGUGAAAACUCGGGGCUUAACCCCGGGCCUGCAGUGGGUACGGGCAGACUAGAGUGCGGUAGGGGAGACUGGAAUUCCUGGUGUAGCGGUGAAAUGCGCAGAUAUCAGGAGGAACACCGGUGGCGAAGGCGGGUCUCUGGGCCGUAACUGACGCUGAGGAGCGAAAGCGUGGGGAGCGAACAGG